rnacentral:rRNA from 1 species
GAUGAACGCUGGCGGCGUGCCUAAUACAUGCAAGUCGAGCGAACGGACGAGAAGCUUGCUUCUCUGAUGUUAGCGGCGGACGGGUGAGUAACACGUGGAUAACCUACCUAUAAGACUGGGAUAACUUCGGGAAACCGGAGCUAAUACCGGAUGAUAUUUUGAACCGCAUGGUUCAAAAGUGAAAGACGGUCUUGCUGUCACUUAUAGAUGGAUCCGCGCUGCAUUAGCUAGUUGGUAAGGUAACGGCUUACCAAUGCAACGAUGCAUAGCCGACCUGAGAGGGUGAUCGGCCACACUGGAACUGAGACACGGUCCAGACUCCUACGGGAGGCAGCAGUAGGGAAUCUUCCGCAAUGGGCGAAAGCCUGACGGAGCAACGCCGCGUGAGUGAUGAAGGUCUUCGGAUCGUAAAACUCUGUUAUUAGGGAAGAACAUAUGUGUAAGUAACUGUGCACAUCUUGACGGUACCUAAUCAGAAAGCCACGGCUAACUACGUG